rnacentral:rRNA from 1 species
UACGUAGGGGGCAAGCGUUAUCCGGAUUUACUGGGUGUAAAGGGAGCGUAGACGGCAGUGCAAGUCUGGAGUGAAAGGCGGGGGCUCAACCCCCGGACUGCUCUGGAAACUGUACGGCUGGAGUGCAGGAGAGGUAAGUGGAAUUCCUAGUGUAGCGGUGAAAUGCGUAGAUAUUAGGAGGAACACCAGUGGCGAAGGCGGCUUACUGGACUGUAACUGACACUGAGGCUCGAAAGCGUGGGGAGCAAACAGG